UACGAGGGGGGCGAGCGUUGUUCGGAAUCAUUGGGCGUAAAGCGCGCGUAGGUGGCCCCGUAAGUCCGCUGUGAAAGUCAAAGGCUCAACCUUUGAAAGCCGGUGGAUACUGUGGGACUAGAGUACGGAAGAGGCGAGUGGAAUUCCUGGUGUAGCGGUGGAAUGCGCAGAUAUCAGGAGGAACACCCAUGGCGAAGGCAGCGAUUCUGGGCGUCAACCUGACGCUGAGGAGCGAAAGCCAGGGGAGCGAACGGG
rnacentral:rRNA from 1 species